ACGGAAGGCAGCAGUGGGGGAUAUUGCACAAUGGGGGAAACCCUGAUGCAGCGACGCCGCGUGAGUGAAGAAGUAUUUCGGUAUGUAAAGCUCUAUCAGCAGGAAAGAUAAUGACGGUACCUGACUAAGAAGCACCGGCUAAAUACGUACCAGCAGCCGCGGUAAUACGUAUGGUGCAAGCGUUAUCCGGAUUUACUGGGUGUAAAGGGAGCGCAGACGGCAUGGCAAGCCAGAUGUGAAAGGCAGGGGCUCAACUCCUGGACUGCAUUUGGAACUGUCAAGCUAGAGUAUCGGAGAGGUAAGUGGAAUUCCUAGUGUAGCGGUGAAAUGCGUAGAUAUUAGGAGGAACACCAGUGGCGAAGGCGGCUUACUGGACGAUAACUGACGUUGAGGCUCGAAAGCGUGGGGAGCAAACAGGAUUAGAUACCCUGGUA
rnacentral:rRNA from 1 species